rnacentral:rRNA from 1 species
AUUGAACGCUGGCGGCAUGCCUUACACAUGCAAGUCGAACGGUAACGGGCCUUCGGGUGCCGACGAGUGGCGAACGGGUGAGUAAUACAUCGGAACGUGCCCGAUCGUGGGGGAUAACGAGGCGAAAGCUUUGCUAAUACCGCAUACGAUCUACGGAUGAAAGCAGGGGACCGCAAGGCCUUGCGCGGACGGAGCGGCCGAUGGCAGAUUAGGUAGUUGGUGGGAUAAAAGCUUACCAAGCCGACGAUCUGUAGCUGGUCUGAGAGGAUGAUCAGCCACACUGGGAGUGGGGCACGGGCCGGGCGCCUAGGGGAGGGAGCAGUGGGGAAUUGUGGACAAUGGGGGGAAGCCUGAUGCAGCCAGGCGGGGGGGAGGAUGAAGGCGUUGGGGUGGUAAGCUGGUUUUGGAGGGAAGGAAGAGCCUUCGUUUGAUACGGGAGGGUCGUGACGGUACCGUAAGAGUAAGCACCGGCUAACUACGUG